rnacentral:rRNA from 1 species
ACGGCUCAGUAACACGUGGACAACCUACCCUGAAGAGGGGGAUAACCCCGGGAAACUGGGGAUAAUACCCCAUAGACUAUGGAUGCUGGAAUGCUCUGUAGUUCAAAGGUCCGCCGCUUCAGGAUGGGUCUGCGGCCGAUUAGGUUGUUGUUGGGGUAACGGCCCAACAAGCCUGUAAUCGGUACGGGUUGUGGGAGCAAGAGCCCGGAGAUGGAUUCUGAGACACGAAUCCAGGCCCUACGGGGCGCAGCAGGCGCGAAAACUUUGCAAUGCGAGAAAUCGUGACAAGGGAACUCCGAGUGCCUGUAAAAUCAGGCUGUCCGCCAGUGUAAACAACUGGUGAAGAAAGGGCCGGGCAAGACCGGUGCCAGCCGCCGCGGUAAUACCGGCGGCUCGAGUGGUGGCCACUAUUACUGGGCUUAAAGCGUUCGUAGCUGGCUUGUUAAGUCUCUGGGGAAAUCUUCCGGCUUAACCGGAAGGCGUCUCAGGGAUACUGGCAGGCUAGGGACCGGAAGAGGUGAGAGGUACUCCAGGGGUAGGAGUGAAAUCCUGUAAUCCUUGGGGGACCACCUGUGGCGAAGGCGUCUCACCAGGACGGCUCCGACAGUGAGGAACGAAAGCUGGGGGAGCAAACCGGAUUAGAUACCCGGGUAGUCCCAGCUGUAAACGAUGCGCGUUAGGUGUAUCGGUGACCACGAGUCACCGAGGUGCCGAAGAGAAAUCGUGAAACGCGCCGCCUGGGAAGUACGGUCGCAAGGCUGAAACUUAAAGGAAUUGGCGGGGGAGCAC